CCACUUGGCACACUGAGCACGACACACUGCUUUGCAUCCCAGAUGGACUGGGUGUGGAGGAUGUGCACUUCAUUCAGCUGAGAAGGUGGCAUAUUCUGAUGUGUGCAGAGACUCACCAAGUUAGAAAACUUAGAUGCCUUAGACAUGUUCCACAAGUAACCAAAUUGCCAAGAAUGUAGAGGACCAGCCUUUCCAAAGAGUUCUCACCUUUCCAAACAGUUUUGAAAAUUGGUGGACACGCUCUGAGGAAUAGAGCACAUCAUCUUCACACAAUCCUAAUUUACAAUAUAUGACAAUGAAGAUGUGUUUGAUUCUUAGAAUUACAGGAAAUGUUCUUGUAACAGCUUGUGAUGUUCCCUCCCUAAAGCUACAGCAGGGAAUUUGGAUUCAUCAGCUGUAACUUGUGACGGAAUGAAGAAGAGCCUCUUUUAAAUGUUACAGAAGUAUAAAGUAGUGAAGCUUUGUGGUACUUUAAAAUCUGCUGAAUAUGUGUAUUUUUAUUUUAUUUUAUGGGACGCAAGGGGAGAGAGUAAUUAUGAUUGUAAGUAUCAAAUAUAUGUCAGCUUAUCUGCAACAACAUCUCAGUCACAGAUUUAUAGGUGGUUCUCAGAUCGUCCUGAGGCUCAAAAUAGCUCUUUGUACUGUUAGAACCUUGAGAUGUU